UACGUAGGGUGCGAGCGUUGUCCGGAAUUAUUGGGCGUAAAGAGCUCGUAGGCGGUUUGUUGCGUCGGCUGUGAAAUCCCGAGGCUCAACCUCGGGUCUGCAGUCGAUACGAGCAAACUAGAGUGUUGCAGGGGAGACUGGAAUUCCUGGUGUAGCGGUGAAAUGCGCAGAUAUCAGGAGGAACACCGGUGGCGAAGGCGGGUCUCUGGGCCGAUACUGACGCUGGAGGAGCGAAAGCGUGGGGAGCAAACAGG
rnacentral:rRNA from 1 species